AGGGUUUGAUUAUGGCUCAGAUUGAACGCUGGCGGCAGGCCUAACACAUGCAAGUCGAGCGGUAGAGAGGUGCUUGCACCUCUUGAGAGCGGCGGACGGGUGAGUAAUGCCUAGGAAUCUGCCUGGUAGUGGGGGAUAACGCUCGGAAACGGACGCUAAUACCGCAUACGUCCUACGGGAGAAAGCAGGGGACCUUCGGGCCUUGCGCUAUCAGAUGAGCCUAGGUCGGAUUAGCUAGUUGGUGGGGUAAUGGCUCACCAAGGCGACGAUCCGUAACUGGUCUGAGAGGAUGAUCAGUCACACUGGAACUGAGACACGGUCCAGACUCCUACGGGAGGCAGCAGUGGGGAAUAUUGGACAAUGGGCGAAAGCCUGAUCCAGCCAUGCCGCGUGUGUGAAGAAGGUCUUCGGAUUGUAAAGCACUUUAAGUUGGGAGGAAGGGCAUUAACCUAAUACGUUAGUGUUUUGACGUUACCGACAGAAUAAGCACCGGCUAACUCUGUGCCAGCAGCCGCGGUAAUACAGAGGGUGCAAGCGUUAAUCGGAAUUACUGGGCGUAAAGCGCGCGUAGGUGGUUCGUUAAGUUGGAUGUGAAAUCCCCGGGCUCAACCUGGGAACUGCAUUCAAAACUGUCGAGCUAGAGUAUGGUAGAGGGUGGUGGAAUUUCCUGUGUAGCGGUGAAAUGCGUAGAUAUAGGAAGGAACACCAGUGGCGAAGGCGACCACCUGGACUGAUACUGACACUGAGGUGCGAAAGCGUGGGGAGCAAACAGGAUUAGAUACCCUGGUAGUCCACGCCGUAAACGAUGUCAACUAGCCGUUGGGAGCCUUGAGCUCUUAGUGGCGCAGCUAACGCAUUAAGUUGACCGCCUGGGGAGUACGGCCGCAAGGUUAAAACUCAAGUGAAUUGACGGGGGCCCGCACAAGCGGUGGAGCAUGCGGUUUAAU
rnacentral:rRNA from 1 species